rnacentral:rRNA from 1 species
AGGGUGUAAACGCUGCAGACUUGGUGUUGGAAGUCCUUUGGGGGCAUUCAGUGCCGGAGAGAAGUUGUUAAGUCUGCUACUUGGGGAGUACGUCCGCAAGGAUGAAACUUAAAGGAAUUGGCGGGGAGCACCGCAACGGGAGGAGCGUGCGGUUUAAUUGGAUUCAACACCGUAAACUCACCAGGGAAGACUGUUACAUGAAAGCCGAGAUGAAGACUCUGCUAGAUUUUCAGAGAGGUGUGCAUGGCGUCAGUGACU